GGAGAGGAGGUCACACGCACGGGUUAGGGCUCAGAUACAUCGCAGGUCCCAGAUCGAACUUGCGGUAGCAGCUAGUGAUCGAACUCGGCUUUCGGGUGUUUCCCGUCGUUCCAGCAUCCGUUUUCUCCACCGCCGACAAAGCCAGACGAGCUCGGCUUACCAGCAUCCGGUUGCUCCUCCGCUGACAAAUCCAGCAACCGUAUUUGCCCCAGAUCCCCAGUACGCGUAAAUGUCUACAACGAGUGACUUAUCAAGUGGUCCGCCAUUAUGUAAAUGUGGAGUACCUGCACGACUGAGGUACUCUUGGACCUCGUCCAAUCCCAGCAGGAAGUGGUACGGAUGUAUUAACUAUAAGAAAGCCGGCGAUUGUGAUUAUUUUGUUUGGGCUGAUAAUAAAAUGACCGCAUACGAGGAGGG